rnacentral:rRNA from 1 species
AUACGGAGGGUGCAAGCGUUACUCGGAAUCACUGGGCGUAAAGCGCGCGCAGGCGGUCUUUUAAGUUGGAUGUGAAAGCCUACGGCUCAACCGUAGAACUGCAUCCAAAACUAUUAGACUAGAGUGUGGGAGAGGAAGGUGGAAUUAGUUGUGUAGGGGUAAAAUCCGUAGAGAUAACUAGGAAUACCAAAAGCGAAGGCAAUCUUCUGGAACACUACUGACGCUGAGGCGCGAAAGCGUGGGGAGCAAACAGGAUUAGAAACCCCAGUAGUCC